CUCCUACGCGAGGCAGCAGUAAGGAAUAUUGGUCAAUGGACGCAAGUUUGAACCAGCCAUGCCGCGUGAAGGAUGAAGGCCCUCUGGGUUGUAAACUUCUUUAUCUGGCGAAAAAGGGCAAUCUUGCUCACUUGACGGUACCAGAGGAAUAAGCACCGGCUAACUCCGUGCCAGCCGCCGCGGUAAUAC
rnacentral:rRNA from 1 species